ensembl:lncRNA
UACCAUGCCCGCAACUUUGUAAUUUUAGUAGAGACAGGGUUUCUCCAUGUCGAGGCUGGUCUCGAACUCCUGACCUCAGGUGACCCGCCGCCUCAGCCUCCCAAAGUGCUGGGAUUAUAGGCGUCAGCCACCGCACCCGCCUGCAUUUGCUGUCUUAAGGUUAAUUCCCUUAGUUCCCGGAGGUCACCUCUAAUUUGAGCUAUGAUUUGGGGUGGCCGACAGAACAAAAUCUUAUAGGGCAGAUACCCAGUUUGUUUGGUGGGGUGCACCUGACUUGGAGGAGGACCAUAGGCAAAACCUGAUUUUAUCUCAGAUGAAUUUCUUGGCAAUAUUUCUUCAGUAACUGCUUGAGUGUCCGGUUCACACAUUUUACUUUUCCUGAACUUUGCGGCUGAUAGGCUGUAUGUAACUUCCAUUUUAUUUUUAACAGUCUUGUUAAAUCUUGCACUAUUUCAGCUAUAAAUUGCCAGCCCAUUGUUUGACUUUAAAGCCAGAGGCAGUCCAAACCUGGGGAUAAUAGAUUUUAGCAAUACUUUAGUCACUUCUCAUGCUUUUUGUCGUGGUGGGAAAGCCUUAAGUCACCCUGAAAAGGUGCAAACAAGCACUAGCAUGUACUGAUAGCCUCUGGAACAGGGCAGUUCUGUAAAGUUUUAAGAAAGUUUUCACAAGGCAUGGCUCCUUCUUCUGUUUACUUUCCUAGAGGAGGGUUUUCUUUUCCCCUUUGUAACUUCAACUAGUGGUUUAGCCAUUAUAGUGAGAAAUUGGACUCCAGAUACAGCAGAAUUUUGCUGCCUUUAACUUUAGUGUGACAAUGGGUUCCUGGAAGCCUAAUGAGAAGGUGCCUGGUCUGUCCUAGUUCUUAUAGCUUUCAGCUGCUGCCAGCCCAAUCAGAUUAGUAUUUGGUUUUCCCAAGGUUAGGCAGCCCUUGGCCGAUGGCCUCUUUGUCUUGUGGCCUUGGCCAUUUUCCUCAUUGCCUUUUGAACAUUUAUUCUUUUCCUUUGCUCUUCUCCCAGCGCCGGUCCUUGGCCCCUUUUUCCAGAUAGAGCUGGGCUGGGAGAGGGACUUAACCCUUGCGUGCCUAGCUGCCACGCUUGCUGCUUCGUUCUUUCCUGUUUUGUUCCCUGGUUACAGUUUAACAUACACCUGGGUGGCCACUUUUAUAGACUAGGUGGUAUUCAUGCCUACAGCUUCUGCUUGAUGUUAUCCUGGGCUUGCCUUACAAAUAAGUAUUCACUAUAUGCUGAUUUUCAGCAGCCUCAGAGUUAAAUGGGGUGUAAAGCCAGAACGCCUCACAGAGUCUCUUGUAAAACUGACUUAAGCUCUCGUCAGCUCCUGAAGCACUUCUGAAAUCUUCCUUAUGUUAGUUGCUUUCCUUCUACCAGCUUAGCCUCUCAGAAGUGCCUCUUGGUACCUCUGUAAAUGCUGAAGCUGGGUUACAUCUUCGGGUCCCAGUUGGGAUCUUGGUCUGGGAACUGACCCUGAGUGGAUGCCUGAGCAUUUACUGUUUGGGUGAGGGAGAAAGGACAAGAUGGAGGAAGGUGAACAAGAAGGCACAAUCCAUGUUGCUUCGGGUUCUUCCUCACUGACUUUCCCACCCGGAAAAUGCAGCCGGCUUCAGGAAGACACAGAUCAACCGAGCAUGUGCCAGGUGAUGUCAAUCGAAGAGAUCGAAACUUACCUGGCCAUGCCUAUGGAGAUGCCCCUAUCACGCCCUUAUCAUGCCCACUGCCCUCCCCUUCCAGUACCAAUGCAUAAAAGUCCGCUGCCAGCAGGAGCGGCAUGACUUCUUCGCCCCUCCUACUUGGGGACCGGAGAACCUCACCGAGUGCCGGCGACUUCCCUGGCCCCAUACCUGAGGACCGGAGAACCUCGCCGUGAGUGUGUGCAUAUUUGCAAUAAAAGACUGCCGCUUUCUUAUGUACUUUGGCCU